rnacentral:lncRNA from 1 species
UAAGCUCUUCUCUCUCUAAAUCCGAAAAUUUAGAGUGAAAGAGAGAGAGAUACAAAGCUAAUAUCAUAUCUUAACACUCCAUGAUCAGCAACAUAGGAUCAGAUUCAAGAAAUCAAAGCAUAAAGGUAUAAACCCUAGAAUUUAAAAAUCUUAUGAUCUGAUGUUAGAUCUUGUUGUUUGUUAUUUAAUGUUGUGUAAUAAGAUGUUAUUUAGUGAUUUGGGUUGUUA